CAGUAUUAGUCUCAGAAAUAUCCAUGACAAUUUUGUUUGCACUAGUAAGAAAUUGAAAAUAGCCUAAACAGCAAAAGGAGAGUUGAAUAAAUAAAUUUCACUGUGGAAUUAGAAAAUGAAAUACUAUGUUGUUAAUAACGAAGGUGUUGUAGAAAACUAACAUCAUGGUAACAUUGGUACUAUAUUUUCAAGAGAGAUAAAGCAGAUUGUUAGGUAAUGAGUAGUUUGUGAACCAAUAAUGCAAAGAGAUUCUAUUUUGCCUCCCCAACCCCACAGCUCAGGUUUUUCUUCUCCUUUGGGCAACUGCUUAAAUUCAGAGGCAGCUACCAAAAGGAAACGUCUCUCUACCCCCUACUGUUUCUUCUGUGCAAAAGAAUGUAAAAUAUGAGGCUUCUCUUUCGCAUGUAGGCCUGAGAAGUUUUGACAAGAAUGUGUAUGCAGGGAGAAAUGACUGGUGAAAGAAUUUAGAAAGAAUGUAUGGGGACAAAAAGGAAUCACAUGAGCUGAUUUAAAUUCUUCUUGUGACAAGGGGUGUGUGCAAACAUGAAGGAACUAGGGUUUUGUUUGUAAAUGUUUAUCGGUUUGGGAGAGGCAAAGAUCACAGACUGUGAUAUUCUUGGGAUAAACAGCUCAAUAUGUUGGUCCCAAGCGACACCAUGUGGAAUUGAGAAGAGGGCCAUUCUCAUCUAAACACCCAUCGGAGCCCAGAGAAAACAGAAGAAAAGUUGCAACAGAGUGAAAAAUCAGGAAAACCUCAUCGAGAUAGAUAUUCUGCCAGAGACAAAACGAAACCUCAUCGAGAUAGAUAUUCUGCCAGAGAAAAAUGAGACAUCAGAUAUGUGUGAUCACAGGUCAUAGACUCAGUGAAGUGCCACUGUCACAAUGCUCUCAUGCCAAACCUUGACUGCAAAGCUGAGAUGUUAAUAUGGAACACCUGAGAGGGCUGGCACUUCAGCGUCCUUAUUCCUCCAGAACCACACCACAAAAGUCACCUUCUCCCCAGACAGAUUCUCUACAAAAUGCCUUGCAGCCGAGGUGUGGUGGAAAGAAUAUUGUAUUUGGAAUAAAAAAUUUUUGAUUUUGCACCAUCA
rnacentral:lncRNA from 10 species